GAUGAACGCUCGCUACAGGCUUAACACAUGCAAGUCGCGGGGCAGCAUGGGGGUUGCUUGCAAUCCCCGAUGGCGACCGGCGCACGGGUGAGUAACGCGUAUCCAACCUGCCCUUCACCACGGGAUAACCCGGCGAAAGUCGGACUAAUACCGUAUGUUGUCCAUUGACGGCCUCCGAUUUGGACGAAAGGCUUGGCGGUGAGGGAUGGGGAUGCGUCCGAUUAGCCAGACGGCGGGGUAACGGCCCACCGUGGCUACGAUCGGUAGGGGUUCUGAGAGGAAGGUCCCCCACACUGGAACUGAGACACGGUCCAGACUCCUACGGGAGGCAGCAGUGAGGAAUAUUGGUCAAUGGGCGUAAGCCUGAACCAGCCAAGUAGCGUGCAGGAUGACGGCCCUAUGGGUUGUAAACUGCUUUUAUGCGGGGAUAAAGUGGCCCACGUGUGGGCUUUUGCAGGUACCGCAUGAAUAAGGACCGGCUAAUUCCGUG
rnacentral:rRNA from 1 species